CUAGCAUGCCGGCGACCGUGUGAAUUUUCGUUAUGGCCCUGUCCUGUGGUCUCGGGCGGAGCACCCUGGCUAACAGUGUGUCUGUUUUAUUUGCUUUCUCAUAGUAGAGUCGCUUUGACCAUUGUAUGGAGCGUGUCACCGCUUCCAGAGAGAUGUCCCUAAUAGAGUGUCUGAGGGUGUUCAGUUCUCUAAGUUUGGAGUCUGUCG